AUUUAUUCCUACAUUAAGAAUGUUGUCUUCUGAAGAGAAUUUGAGCCAGAUUACAUUGGAUUCAACAGGAUUUAGAGGAAAAUUAUUUGAUCUGAUUGAGACGUUCAAUUCUGAGAGGGAUUGAAAAGAUGAUGCUGAGAGGAUUGUUUCUUGAGGAAAAGGCUACACAAUCUUAAGGGAUCAAAAAGAUUUUGAACACCAAGAGAAUCAGAGGAUACACUAAUCAGAAAGAAGAUUGUGGUUAAUCUACAGGAUGAGUAACUGAAUGGUGGAAUAGGUACAAAGCACGAAACGGUCAGAUAAUAAUGCUACCUCAUUAGAGGUGAAUACUGGUACCAUGAGGGCAAAGCUCCGGGAGGUAUGAGAGGUUUUAAGGCCAAAAUGCCGGAACUUCUCUUCGAGGAGACCAUCAGCGAUGGGACGGGAGAAAAAACAGCAAUUCAUGCGUGGAUCAUCCAGCCCUCCAGAGUUGUUCAAGGAAUUAAAACAGGCGAUGCAGUAAUUCCAUCUGAAGAAACGCAGGCCAACUCUCAGUUGAUUCAGAAAAGGUGCUAGAAAUGUUGUGUAUGAGGUCAACGUUAAUGUAAGCAGUUGAAAGGUUUCUGCAUAAUUCAAAUAUCAGUGAAGGCAGGGAGUUCAAGUGCUGACAAUAUCAUAGGACCUUGCACCACAUCCCUUGCACAAAUUACUCCAGCACUUUAUGUUGCAUCUUCUAUUACUUUGCACUCAGAUUCCUCCUCAAUUAAUCUCUCUGACAACAUACUCUGUGUUCUUUCAACCUCACCUCUUUUCCUAUGUUUGGUUUGAAAUAUCAAUUCUGUUUCGCUAUUCAUAGAUGCUGCCUGACCAGCUGAUUAUUUCCAGCAAUUUAUGUUUAUAUUUUUAGAUUUGCUGACUUACAAUGCCAGAGACCCAGGUUCGAUCCUGACCACAGGAGCAGUCUGUACGGAGUUUAUAUGUUCCCCCCCUUGACCG